UACGGAGGAUCCGAGCGUUAUCCGGAAUUAUUGGGUUUAAAGGGUGCGUAGGCGGAUCGAUAAGUCAGUGGUGAAAGACGGUGGCUCAACCAUCGCAGUGCCGUUGAUACUGUUGAUCUUGAAUGUACUUGAGGUAGGCGGAAUGUGGCAAGUAGCGGUGAAAUGCAUAGAUAUGCCACAGAACACCGAUUGCGAAGGCAGCUUACUAAGGUAUGAUUGACGCUGAGGCACGAAAGCGUGGGGAUCGAACAGGAUUAGAUACCCUGGUAGUCCACGCCCUAAACGAUGAACACUCGGUGCCGGCGAUAGACGGUCGGCGCCCAAGCGAAAGCGUUAAGUGUUCCACCUGGGGAGUACGCCCGCAAGGGUGAA
rnacentral:rRNA from 1 species